UGGUGGAGUGAUUUGUCUGCUUAAUUGCGAUAACGAACGAGACCUUAACCUACUAAAUAGCCCGUGUUGCUCUGGCAGCACGCCGGCUUCUUAGAGGGACUAUCGGCUCAAGCCGAUGGAAGUUUGAGGCAAUAACA
rnacentral:rRNA from 1 species